UGGCACAUGUUGGAAUACUUUCAUGUUCUGUAAAUGUUGAGGGGAAGCCCCCAAAGAAGACACGGCCAGCUGUUUCAUUUCAGCUUCGCUUCAGAUCCUCCAGCAGCCUUUCAAAUGCAAACACACGGAAUCUCUGCGCCUGUUCUCUCUGGUUAAAAGUUAUUCCUGUGUCAUUUUGUUUUCAGUCAACACACACGCUGAAGCUUUAACAGAGGGCAGCAGCCGCUGGUAACCCGACCUCAGACCAGCUGCUGCGACGCUGCAGAUUUAGCCCGAAGGCUCAGAAGUAAAAGUGAAACUGCACGCAGCACUCCGGCUCACUGUCACACCGUUUGCUCCUUCGCUCGGUUUAUUCGUGGUUUACUCCCUUUUAUAAGUGGAUUAUUCUCGGGGCACAACUUCCACGGGGAAUAAUCGGACGUCCGCUCGAUUAAAGGGCUGCUGUCAAGGUGCUGCAUCGCAAACAGCCGCUAGAUGUCGCCAAAUCCGACCGCAGCGUGCGCCAUCGGAUUUUCUGAGAGAUGGUGUCCUGACUGUGUAAGGAUAACGAUCUCAAAAGAUCAAAAGUCGCCCUGGUUCCCUCCACCUCUGGAGCUGCAGAAGGAAGGAAGAAGAAAGCGUGAUGCCCGUCUGUCUGUAAAGGAACUAUGACUGAAACUGAAAAAGAUGCGGCCUCUGGGAAUCGGGCAAAUAUGCGCUCACAAGCACAUUAUGGGCACAUACAGUCAAAGUGAGGUCUGGCAUCAGGAUGUAAAGAGUUUCACGUCUGUUUUUUAUCGGUUUUCCAGUUCUUUCAGUUUACCACCCACAAGACACGAGUUCAUAAACUCUCAAUAAAUGUAUGUUUGUUCGGGUUUCACUCAAAUACAUGUUAGCGUGUGGUGGGCAAGACGCGUGCAAAUCAUAAAUAGGGAAUAGGCGGUUAUUCAUGUGCAUUCACUGAAUGAAAUGUUUAACAUACAGCUGCACGACAUCGAGCUCACCACAUUGUGAUCAGUUAAUGAUUCAUCUACUGUAAAGCCAGUAAUAAGCAAUAAAUCAAAUGAAUUGUAUAGCCAAACCGCCAUUUUGUUUGUUUUUACAUGUGAAAUGUUUUAUCAAUGGAACUAAAUUCCGAGCUAAUAACUAUUUUGUCUCUAUGAACCCAUGUUUAUUUUCAAUGAGCAAGUAUGAAAUAAAUGAAUUUUGCAAUGUA